rnacentral:rRNA from 1 species
AUUGAACGCUGGCGGCAGGCCUAACACAUGCAAGUCGAACGAGUGGCGGACGGGUGAGUGUAGCCUGGGAACCUGCCUGAUGGAGGGGGAUAACUACUGGUCACGGUAGAUAAUACCGCAUACCAUCAGAUGUGCCCAGAUGGGUUGAGCUAGGUGGUGGGGUAAGGGCUCACCAAGGCGACGAUCCCUAGCUGGUCUGAGAGGAGGGCAAGCCACACUAGAACUGAGCCGCGGCACGGACUCCUACGCGAGGCAGCAGUGGGGAAUAUUGCACAAUGGGCGCAAGCCUGAUGCAGCCAUGCCGCGUGUAUGAAGAGGGCCUUCGGGUUGUAAAGUACUUUCAGCGGGGAGGCGUUACCCGCAGAAGAAGCACCGGCUAACUCCGUGCCAGCAGCCGCGGUAAUUC